CCUACGGGAGGCUGCAGUGGGGAAUAUUGCACAAUGGGGGAAACCCUGAUGCAGCGACGCCGCGUGAGUGAAGAAGUAAUUCGUUAUGUAAAGCUCUAUCAGCAGGGAAGAAAAUGACGGUACCUGAGUAAGAAGCCCCGGCUAACUACGUGCCAGCAGCCGCGGUAAUACGUAGGGGGCAAGCGUUCUCCGGAUUUACUGGGUGGAAAGGGAGCGUAGACGGCAGUGCAAGUCUGGAGUGAAAGGCGGGGGCUCAACCCCCGGACUGCUCUGGAAACUGUACGGCUGGAGUGCAGGAGAGGUAAGUGGAAUUCCUAGUGUAGCGGUGAAAUGCGUAGAUAUUAGGAGGAACACCAGUGGCGAAGGCGGCUUACUGGACUGUAACUGACGUUGAGGCUCGAAAGCGUGGGGAGCAAACAGGAUUAGAUACCCGUGUAGUC
rnacentral:rRNA from 1 species